AGAGCGAGCGAGUCUCCUCAUUCGCUAUGCACCCCCCCCCCCCGCUUUUUUCUCUCUAAAAUUCCAGAAUCUUCUCACUCUUUCUCUGUCUAAAAACCUAGACCCCAUUUCUCUCCAAGUCUCUUGCUUUUCUUCGUCGCCAGGUUUUCAACUCACCACGGCGUCGUUUCCGCUGGUUUUCCCUCUCAAAGUCUGUUGACGGCGUUUCUUCGCCGGUCGCAUAUUUGAGAGCUGCGGUUAGGGUUUCGAAACUCUGAUUCCGAGAAAGCGAGGUUUGAGAUGUCUCACAGAUCAAAAGAAGAAAAGGGGUAUAGCCGGUCUGAAUUAGAAGACUAUGUGGACGAGUAUUACUAUCAGUUAAAGAAAGGUAGUGUUAAGGUUAAAAAUUCUGAUUCAACUUAUAGAUGCCCAUUUUGCGACGGGAAGAGGAGGCAUGAUUACCGACUAAAGGAGCUUUCACGACAUGCGUAUGACAUUGGCAGAGACAGCAAGGGUUUAAAAGAGAAAUCAAAGCACUUGGCUUUGGAGAGGUAUAUAGACAGAUAUCUUUAUGUGAAGAGUCGGUUAGAAUCUGCACCCAAGAUUGAAAGCCCUAAACACUUGCAGAGACGGACUCAGGUUGUGGCUGUAGCGGGCUCCUCCCAAAUCAGAGAAAAGUCUAUUCAUUCUGAACCUCAAGCCCACUCCCAGCUUCUUCCCAGCUUCUUCCCGGCCCCCACUCUCCCCACUCCAAAGGCACAACCCACAACAGGUUCUAAGGCUGGUUCCACCCUUGCUACACAGGAGGAUGACCAAUGGUUUGUAUGGCCUCCAAUGGGCAUUUUGGCAAAUGUUAAAACUGAACUAAAGGAUGGAAGACAUGUUGGGGAAAGUGGUUCCAAACUUAAAACUGACUUGGCAAGUAAAGGUUUUAACCCUUUGAGGGUUCAUCCUUUAUGGACAUACAGGGGUCACUCCGGGUUUGCAAUUGUUGAAUUUGAGAAAAGCUGGGAAGGUUUCCAUAAUGCAAAGUCCUUUGACAAGAGUUUUGAAGUUGAUCACCGUGGAAAAGGGGACUAUAAUGUAAUGAGGAAUCGAGGAGAUAACUUGUAUGGAUGGGUUGCUCGGGAUGAUGAUUACAAUUUGAGAAGCACUGUGGGUGAUUAUCUUCAUAAGAAUGGAGAUUUGAAAACUGUUUCCGCUCAACAAGAAGAAGAACAUACAAAAAAUUCAAAGCUAGUUACCACUCUAACUAGCACCUUAGUUAUAAAGAAUUCACAUCUAAAGGAGAUGGAAAGAAAAUGUCGUACCACUGACGAUGCUUUAAACAAGGUGGAGGCUGAAAAGGAGGAUAUUCUCAAAGCUUGCAAUGAAAAAAGAGAAAAAAUGCAAAAAAUUGCUCAUGACCAAUUGGCAAAGAUAUGCUUAGACCACAAGAAAACCGGUUUGGAGUUGGAAGCUACAAAAAAAGAGCUUGAGGACCGUGAGAAACAACUGCAACAACGCCGUGCACAAAAUGAUAGUGAGAGAAGGAAAAUCUAUCAUGAAAGGAAAAUGAAUGAGAUGGCUACCUUGGAGCAAAAGAAGGCUGACGAAAAGAUGUUACAGUUAGCAGAAGAACAAAAGAGAGAAAAGGAGAAACUUCACAAGAGAAUCAUUGAGUUGGAAAAGCAGCUUGAUGCCAAACAGGUACUGGAGCUUGAGAUAGAGCGAAUGAGAGGUGCUUUAAAGGUGAUGAACCACAUGGAUGAGGAUGAGGAUUUGGAAGCCAGGAAGAAGAUGACUGAAAUAAAAGAGAAGUUACAGGAGAAGGAGGAGGAGUAUACCGAUGUAGAGGAACUUUAUAAAACACUUAUUGUUAUGGAGCGGAGGAAUAAUGAUGAAGUGCAGGAGGCUCGUAAGGAAGUAAUCAAAGAACUGCGGGGUUCAAGCAGCCGUGCUUCCAUUGGCGUGAAGAUAAUGGGAGAUCUUGAUGAAAAACCAUUCCAAACUGCAACCAAGAAGAAAUAUUCUGGCGAAGAAGCAGAUGUGAAGGCAGUGGAGUUAUGUUCGCUGUGGCAGGAGCAUCUUAGGGAUCCAAGUUGGUAUCCUUUCAGGAUUAUCACAGAUAAAGAAGGAAAGACCAAGGAAAUUAUUAAUGAAGAAGAUGACAAAUUGAAGGCUUUAAAAAAUGAGCUGGGUGAUGAAGUAUACGAGAAGGUGACAACUGCUAUGAAGGAAUUGAAUGAGUAUAAUGCCAGUGGUCGGUAUACAAUACCUGAGCUGUGGAACUUCAAAGAAGGGAGGAAGGCAUCGUUGGAAGAGGGAGUAGUGUUUUUGCUAAACAAGUGGAAGCUGCUUAGAAAACGGAAAAGAUAAACAAGCCAGGUACAGCGAAAGAAAGAGGCUGAAGUUGAUUUCUGGCCGUAGACUUUGGCUAGCAAAACAAAGCCACCACUUCGAGUAUUGCAGGUUUGAAAUGUCUCAUGGUUCAGAAGAAAUGGAUAUUGGUGAGGCUGAGUUUUGUGUUGAGCAUUUUGAGACAAAAGAAAGAGCUCAUGAAAAAACUUGAGCAGAGUGAAUCUCACAAUAAAGAUCUUCAGAAAAAGCAUGAUCACAGUGAAGCUCAGAAGAAAGAGCUUCAGAAAAAGCUUGAGCAAAGUGAAGCACAAAAGAACGAGCUUGAAGUUCAUAAGCAAAUGAAUGAGAUGGCUACUGUGGAGCAAAAGAAGGUUGAUGAAAAGAUGUUAGCAGAAGAACUAAAGAGAGUAGAGGAGAAACUUCACAAGAUAAUCAUUGAGUUGGAAAAGCAGCUUGAUGCCAAACAGGUACUGGAGCUUGAGAUAGAGCAAAUGAGAGGUGCUUUAAGGGUGAUGAAACAUGAGGAUGAGGAUUUGAAGCCAAGAAGAAGAUGGAUGAAAUUCAAGAGAAGUUAAAGGAGAAGCAGGAAGAGUAUACCAAUGUAGAGCAACUUUUUGUAACACUUAUUUUUAAGGAGCGGAGGAGUAAUGAUGAAGUGGAGGAGGCUCGUAAGGAAUUAAUCAGUGGACUGUGGGGUUCAAACAGCCGGGCUUCCAUUGGUGUGAAAAUAAUGGGAGGUCUUGAUGAAAAACCAUUCUAAACUGCAACCAAGAAGAAAUAUUCUGAAGAAGAAGCAGAUGUGAAGGCAGUGGAGUUAUGUUCUCUGUGGCAGGAGCAUCUUAGGGAUCCAAGUUGGCAUCCUUUCAGGAUGAUCACGGAUAAAGAAGGAAAGACCUAGGUAUAUGUUCAACUUCAAGCAAUUUCUGUCUUUCAAUAGAAUACCAUUGUUGGUGACACUGGCACCAAUUUAACUUAUAUUGAGUGAGCAUGGUUUCAGUUAAAGAAAUGGUCAUGUCACUGUCCCCGCAAAUUUGAGCACCUGUGGUUUUAUUAAAAACAUAUCCAUGUGGUCCUUCCUGUGAAAUUGCAAUCUGCAUGUUAAUUUUCUUCUCCCCAUCCUCAGCUCAACCCUGUAGUAUAGCAACAUUUAUUCUUGAAGGUUUCUGGCAUCACAACGUGAGAUUGUGCUUUAUCUCAUAUUCUAGGUCCUAUAUCACAGUGAGCUUGUACCCUAAGCUUCUAAUUUGUCUGUUGGACUGUCCCUUUCACUGAGUUCUACCCACCACAAGAUUGUCAUUUUUUUGUUAAUUGGCAUCACAACGUGAGAUUGUGCUUUAUCUUACUUUCCUGUUAAUUGAGUUAUAUUGGAUGUGAGUACCGGAAAUUAUUAAUGAAGAAGAUGACAAAUUGAAGGCUUUAAAAAAUGAACUGGGUGAUGAAGUAUGCGAGAAGGUGACAACUGCUAUGAUGGAAUUGAAUGAGUAUAAUGCCAGUGGUCGGUAUACAAUACCUGAGCUGUGGAACUUCGAAGAAGGGAGGAAGGCAUCAUUGGAAGAGGGAGUAGUGUUUUUGCUAAACAAGUGGAAACUGCUUAGAAAACGUAAAAGAUAAACAAGGCAAGUACUUAAAUGUUACUUCAUAUGGAGCUUUCUGCUUAAGAGAUAUUUGAACUCUUUCAAGGUUAAGAAUUGACGAUCGGUUACAUUAUUAAACUUAAUGUUGA